GACGAACGCUGGCGGCGUGCUUAACACAUGCAAGUCGAACGGAAAGGCCCUGCUUUUGUGGGGUGCUCGAGUGGCGAACGGGUGAGUAACACGUGAGUAACCUGCCCUUGACUUUGGGAUAACUUCAGGAAACUGGGGCUAAUACCGGAUAGGAGCUCCUGCUGCAUGGUGGGGUUGGAAAGUUUCGGCGGUUGGGGAUGGACUCGCGGCUUAUCAGCUUGUUGGUGGGGUAGUGGCUUACCAAGGCUUUGACGGGUAGCCGGCCUGAGAGGGUGACCGGCCACAUUGGGACUGAGAUACGGCCCAGUCUCCUACGGGAGGCAGCAGUGGGGAAUAUUGCACAAUGGGCGGAAGCCUGAUGCAGCAACGCCGCGUGCGGGAUGACGGCCUUCGGGUUGUAAACCGCUUUCGCCUGUGACGAAGCGUGAGUGACGGUAAUGGGUAAAGAAGCACCGGCUAACUACGUG
rnacentral:rRNA from 1 species